UGGGGAAUAUUGGACAAUGGGCGAAAGCCUGAUCCAGCCAUGCCGCGUGAGUGAAGAAGGCCUUCGGGUUGUAAAGCUCUUUCGGCCGGGACGAAAUCGCACGGGUUAACACCGCGUGUGGAUGACGGUACCGGAAUAAGAAGCACCGGCUAACUACGUGC
rnacentral:rRNA from 1 species